rnacentral:rRNA from 1 species
UGGGGGAUAUUGCACAAUGGGCGAAAGCCUGAUGCAGCGACGCCGCGUGGGGGAUGAAGGCCUUCGGGUUGUAAACUUCUUUUGCUCUGAACAAGGCGCACCAUGGGGUGUGUUGAGUGUAGGGGUUGAUUAGCGCCGGCUAACUACGUGCCAGCAGCCGCGGUAAUACGUAGGGCGCGAGCGUUGUCCGGAAUUAUUGGGCGUAAAGGGCUUGUAGGUGGCUGGUUGCGUCUGUCGUGAAAGCUCAUGGCUUAACUGUGGGUUUGCGGUGGGUACGGGCUGGCUUGAGUGCAGUAGGGGAGGCUGGAAUUCCUGGUGUAGCGGUGGAAUGCGCAGAUAUCAGGGGGAAUACCGGUGGCGAAGGCGGGUCUCUGGGCUGUUACUGGCACUGAGGAGCGAAAGCAUGGGGAGCGAACAGG